rnacentral:rRNA from 1 species
GAUGAACGCUGGCGGCGUGCCUAAUACAUGCAAGUCGAGCGAACAGAUGAUGAGCUUGCUCCUCUGACGUGAGCGGCGGACGGGUGUGUAACACGUGUAUAACGUACCUAUCAUAGUGGUAUAUCUACGGGAAAGCGGAUCUAAUCCGGUAGAAUAUAUUGAUCCGCGGGGUUCGAUAGUGAAAUACGGUUUUGCUGUCACUUAUAGAUGGAUCCGGGCCUCAUUGGCUAGUUGGUAAGGUAACGGCCUACCAAGGCUACGAUGCGUAGCCGACCUGAUAGGGUGAUCGCCGACACGGGAACUGAGACAGGGACAAGACUCCUACGGUAGGCAGCAGUAGGGAAUCUUACGCAGUGGGCGAAAGUAUGACGGAGUAACGCCAAGUGAGUGAUGAAGGUGUUCGGAUCGUAAAAAUCUGUUAUUAGGGAAGAACAAAUGUGUAAGUAAAUAUGCACGUCUUGACGGUACCUAAUCAGAAAGCAACGGCUAACUACGUG